GCGUCGGUACUCAAGUGGUCAACGAGGGCAGACUGUAAAUCUGCUGGCUUCGGCCUCCGAAGGUUCGAAUCCUUCCCGGCGCA
rnacentral:tRNA from 1 species